rnacentral:rRNA from 1 species
UGCCAGCCGCCGCGGUAAUACGGAGGGGGUUAGCGUUGUUCGGAAUUACUGGGCGUAAAGCGUACGUAGGCGGAUUAGUAAGUUAGAGGUGAAAUCCCAAGGCCCAACCUUGGAACUGCCAUCAAAACUUUUUAGCUAGAGUGUGAUAGAGGUAAGUGGAAUUUCUAGUGUAGAGGUGAAAUUCGUGGAUAUUAGAAAGAACACCAAAUGCGAAGGCAGCUUACUGGGUCACUACUGACACUGAGGAGCGAAAGCAUGGGUAGCGAAGAGGAUUAGAUA